rnacentral:rRNA from 1 species
UGAGCAAUCUGCCCUUCUCAUCGGAAUAAGCGUUGGAAACGACGUCUAAUGCCGAAUACGACCUCCUUUCGCAUGAUCGGAGGUGGAAAGCUCCGGCGGAGAAGGAUGAGCUCGCGGCCUAUCAGCUAGUUGGUGUGGGUAAUGGCCCACCAAGGCGACGACGGGUAGCCGGCCUGAGAGGGCGACCGGCCACACUGGGACUGAGAUACGGCCCAGACCUCCGUACGGGAGCAG